UACGAGGGGGGCAAGCGUUGUUCGGAAUUAUUGGGCGUAAAGAGCUCGUAGGCGGCCUGUUACGUCUGCUGUGAAAGCCCGGGGCUUAACCCCGGGUCUGCAUUCGAUACGGGCAGGCUAGAGUGUGGUAGGGGAGAUCGGAAUUCCUGGUGUAGCGGUGAAAUGCGCAGAUAUCAGGAGGAACACCGGUGGCGAAGGCGGAUCUCUGGGCCAUUACUGACGCUGAGGAGCGAAAGCGUGGGGAGCGAACAGG
rnacentral:rRNA from 1 species